UCCGUGAUGGGCUCGAGGUUGCUGGUGCUGCUGCUCGUAGUAGCCCUGGUCUCCCACACUCCUGCCCUCGCCGACCCCAACGUUGGGUCAGGCGACGGGGCCCGCGAGCCACGUUGGGUGACGGCCUCUCCGUCCCGAGCGACAGGAGACGAUCUUUCCGUCGUCACUGCCUCCGCUGCCGCUGCCGCUGCCGCAGCCGCAGCCGCCGACGACCCAGACGUCGACGCCGAAGGGGAUGAAGUGAGCUUGACGGCCACAGCCUCCGCCACCGCGAAAAAUAACAGCGUGACCAACAUAACGGCACAGCUGGGCGCAUCUGUCUUCCUGCCUUGCAAGACACAUCACUCCAUGGAGAGACAGCUCCUGCCGCAGGUGUCUUGGGUGCGGCGGCGGGAUUGGCACAUCCUCACCUCCGGCACCCUCACCUACACCAAGGAAGAGAGGUUCACCGUCCACCAUCCAGAGGGCAGUACCGAGUGGACGUUGGCCAUCAAGUACGUGGAGUUGGAAGACGCCGGCACCUACGAGUGUCAGAUCUCGACGGGUGGAGGUAUCGUGUCACAUCUGGUGAGACUGAAUGUGGUGGUGCCGCGGGCUGUGAUACCUGGCAACGGGGAGUACCACGUCGAGUCUGGCUCCACCAUCUCCCUCGUGUGUUUCAUCGAACAGAGCCCCGUGGCGCCGCAGUACAUAUUCUGGUACCACAACUCACGGAUGAUCAACUACGACAGGGAGCGAGGUGGGGUGAGUGUCCACAUCGAGAGUGGGCCUCGGGUUAAGUCGCUCCUCAGUGUCAGUAAUGCUCGGUCUUCGGACUCCGGCAACUACACGUGCGCUGCGGCCAACACUAAACCAGCCUCCAUCACUGUCUACAUCACGGAAGCAGCUAACAAGAUCGCCGCAAUACAGCCCCGGGCGGUGGACUCAUCCGUGUCUCUACGUGGCUCUGUGACGCUACUGGCGGGGCUGCUCCUCCUCACACACCUCAUCACCUGCCACUGAACCUCCUCCAUCACCUGGCCUCCACCACCUGGCCUCCACCACCUGGCCUCCACUUGGCCUCAUAAUGGCCUCCCCCGAAUACCACCACCAUCACUGCUAGGGCCAUUGAGAGCCCUCCAUGCUGUCACCAUUUGGAUGACUGAAUCUGGACCACCACAGCUAAAACAAUUAAACCUGGACCUCCACAGCUAAGACAAACUUUGACCUCCACAGCUAAAACAGUUAGACUUGACUUCCAUACUUCAACCCCUUUAUAUCUAAAAUAAAAUCAAUCCUUUGUCAAGAUGAUAAAAUCUUUUUAGGGUUGCAGCGUUAGGUGCACACAAAGAGAGAGACAUGAUAUAUGACAGACAGGCGGACGAAACUUUAUCGGUCUGGAAAACAUAAAACGACAAUUAGACAGGGAAGACAACACGCAGCCAAGUCAGUAACUUUAACUUGGCUGACAAACAUUUAAAAUAAACAUCACAUUCAACUAACAUAUACAGUUUAAACCACCUCACACUGGACAGUUGUCAACCUCUAUCAUUAUUAGCUCUAAUGAUACAUUUAGUUAAUCAUUGAACACAGCUGAACACGUCAACACUGUCACAAACAAUCAGGAAGAAACAGACAAUAAAAAUGUUUUAAUGUGUCAGAAAAAUAAUUGUCCUGAGAUUAAAGAGAAUAAGAAAAAUAUGGUAGCGUUCCAAAGGUUUUUCUUUUAUUUACAGGAUAACAGACUGAGACAAGAGUGAGACAAGACUGAGACAAGACUGAGACAAGAGUGAGAUGAGACUUAUCUCUGUUGUUUAUGAUUAGUUGAGGUAUACAAGACAACAGCUGGACAAACAACCUAAUAACAUGUAAGGUCAAGUUGUGGAGGUCAUUAACAAAUUAACUAAAAUAAUAAUAACAGAGAGGAAGACUAAGUGACAGUUUAUUAAAUGAUGACCUAAUCAUUAUGGUGGAGACUUCGUCCAGCGUGGAGACAGUUUAUGGGGUGUGAUGGAGACAUAAUAACACUGAAACAAUAUAUACAUAUAUAAAUAAAUAAAUAACUAAAAACUAAGUGUUGUGGUCGAAUGCUGUCCAUAUUGCACCAACUUCUUUCUCCGGAGAAUAAAGACUUAUGAACUAUAAAUAUCCGAGAAUGAAACAAAAAAAAAUCAGAUGUGAACAAAAAACUGGUCCUAUGAACACUGAUGAACAGUUGUCGGUCCAGCAGUGGCAGAGAAAACAUUAUGUGGGACAAUAUUGUGUUAAGUCACAGAGACUCUCGGCCACUCCCAUGCUAAAUGUGUAUUCUAUAUUUUUGGCACGUGAGCACCCUACAAGACCUGGCCUGGUGGUGUGUGAGUGUGUACGUCUGUGAAUGCGUGAUGUAUACGUAGACUUUCUUACCCAGUGGACGACGAAGAUAGUUCUGAAUAAAUGAGCGACUUGUAUCUGGGUAAGUCAUUAGAAAUAUAUGUGUGUGUGUGUCAGGUAAUCACUCAAGCGCACGCGAUUCUCUACGUGGAACAACAACAUGUCAUGAUAAGAAAGACUCACAAGUGAUAGGGUAGAAAAGUUCAGAAGUGAUCACUGGAGUCAAACUUUAUGGUUUGAGUGAGGGAAAGAGCAGUGGAUGUCCAAGUGUAUCGAGAGAAGUUGAACGAGAAACCAGAUACACAUAAAAGAAAAAAAAAAAAAAUACAAAACAUGAAAAUCUCGAUGAAGGUAUAAAUGCUGUGGAGGAGAAUAAGUGACAGAAUCCUGAAAACUUUUUCUCUACUGACAGGUGACAUUACGUAACUGAAGAGUGAGUGAUGGAAGACCUUGAACACUUUACAUACAGGAACAGGAAGAAACAUAGAGAGAACAUAUAAGUAUAAUGUACUCCUAUGUGUGUAAAUAUAAUGAUGAAGCGUCCUAAUUAUUCCUAGACUGCUAAUAUACUGUUAGACUACUUGGCCGAACUCUCACGGCUAUGUAUAAUGACAAUAUAAUACUACAUGUUAUAUAUGGAGUAAAAAUAGCGUAUGAUGCUGAAAGGGUUAUAUUAGGACGUUAACAGACAUAAAUAACAACCGGACAAGACUUGGGAAAUAUUUAAUAAGAGAAAGUAAGAAGGAACGGUAACGUCACAGAUAAUGAUGACGGAGUGUCGUGAUGCUGACUGAUGAUGCUGAUAAUGAUGAUGAUAACGGAAAAGGUGAGAGUGGAAUGGAAGACGAUGGAUACAUGAUGACACCAAUGGAAAAGGAAUCUGUAAAGUAGGGAAUGAAGACGAAUACAGGUGAGAUAUUACGAGAAACAAAUAAUCGAAUUAAUCACCAGGUAAAUUAUGUUAAUGAAGAGAGGAUAAUAAUGUGGAUUAAUUAAAUAUAAAGUUAAUGAGUGUAUAGACGUACAUAGGUAAUAAGUCAUUACACCUUGAAGGAACUUUGGUUAAUAGUUGCAAAUGAAGAAAAAUAAGAGAUGUUAAGGAAGAGAAAUGAGUAAGAAGUGAAACAGAUAAUAAUGAAAUAUAAUAAAAUAGAAAAAAAAGUAACUAGUGUCCUGAUAUAAAUAUAGAAAGAAAUAAUGAGUAUAAAUAUUAGUGAAUGAAUAAAAAAUAUAGAAAAAUAAAAUAAAAAUACAAAAAAAGUCAUGAAUAAAGAAAUUGAAGAACUGAGAAAUGAAAAGAAAACGAAACAUAAUAAAUAAAGACCAAAUAAAAAAAUAAUAACGUAAAUAAAAACAGUGACGGAAAAUACAAGAACGAAUUAGGUAUAGGAAGGAAGAGAAGAGAAUAAUUAGAGAAUAAAUAUAAUGGAGAGAAAGGAACAGACAAUAUGAAACAUGCAAAGUGAAAGCUACUGAAGAAGAUGGUGAUGAAGAGCUUAGAGGCUCCAGCGCUGAGUGUCCGGCCAGCUCAAUAUCUCAAUAUUUUCAUAAGUGUAAAACAAAAUGGAAAAAAAAUUAUCUUUGCAUAGUUAAUGUCCCCCCUUAUCUCCCUCUGUGUGUGUGUGUGUGUGUGUGUGUGUGUGUGUGUGUGUGUGUGUGUGUGUGUGUGUGUGUGUGUGUGUGUGUGUGUGUG
rnacentral:misc_RNA from 1 species